rnacentral:rRNA from 1 species
AACGAACGCUUGCGGCAUGCCUAACACAUGCAAGUCGAACGAGCUCUUCGGGUCUAGUGGCGCACGGGUUCGUUACGCGGUGGAAUCUGCCCUUUGGUUCGGAAUAACAGUUGGAAACUUCUGCUAAUACCGGAUGAUGACGAAUGUGCAAUGAUUUAUCGCCAGAGGAUGAGCCCGCGUAGGAUUAGCUAGUUGGUGUGGUAAAGGCGCACCAAGGCGACGAUCCUUAGCUGGUCUGAGAGGAUGAUCAGCCACACUGGGACUGAGACACGGCCCAGACUCCUACGAGCAGCAGCAGUGGGGAAUAUUGGACAAUGGGCGAAAGCCUCACACAGCAAUGCCGAGAGAGCGAUGAAGGCCUUAGGGUUGUAAAGCUAUUUUACCAAGGAUGAUAAUGACAGUACCGGGAGUAUAAGCUCCGGCUAUCUCAAGGCCAGCCGCCGCAGUAA